UUGCACACGAUCAUCAAGGGUUUGUUCGUAAAGAGUGAUUUGAUGCUGUGGAAAAGAGCAGCCUGCUGCGCAAUGCUAUAGCCACAAGACCCAGAAAUAUCAAGGAAAAACAACACAGCAGCCCUCAGAUGUGCUAGAGCUGUAAUACUACACAUCUCAAUGAUAUUGCGAUCCUCAAAUGGCCUAUCCAGAAUACCAGGAGUGUCGAUCACUUGAUACCUCAGAUAUUUGUAGUCAGUAUGACCGACAAACAAGGACUUUGUAGUGAAAGCAUACACAUCUCAAUGAUAUUACGAUCCUCAAAUGGCCUAUCCAGAAUACCAGGAGUGUCGAUCACUCGAUACCUCAGAUAUUUGUAGUCAGUAUGACCGACAAACAAGGACUUUGUAGUGAAAGCAUAAGGCUGCACAUCC
rnacentral:lncRNA from 1 species